GGCACAGCUGCCUCUCCGCCCGGCGGGCUGCAACGGCUCUCGCACCGACGUUUCUUCCCAGCAGGAGCCGAAUCCUGAAAGCCCAGCAGCACAGCAGCAGCCCUUGGCUUGUGGUUCCUCAGGGCAGCGGUACAGGUAUGGCACACAGCCUGCCCCAAGGUUCAGCAGUUCUCCACCCUCGGUCACGUUGAAGUCAAUGGGUGUUUCUGCUUUGACCCACGUUUUUUUCUUCCUGUUGCAACCUUGUGACUUUUCCCAGAAGCAUACACAGAUGUGUGUGUGUGUGUGACUGCCUCCUCACUCUGAGCAUGCAGUUGAGAUGCAGCCUUCGCUCUGGUGGUUCUUCAUACUCUUCCUAAGGUCUAUAUGGAAAAAUGCCUUGGAAUUGCCAGAGGCAGCAGUAGGACUGGCAGAACUCUGUUACUACUCGCAGGCAAACACAUGGCGCUUCCUGCUUAGAGACAGCCAGCUGCGAGGACUGAAGAUGAAAGUAACCUGAGCCCUCUUCCUGCUGAAAUGGAGCUCCUGUGCUCAUUUCUCUGUGUCCAACUUAGUUUUAAAUAGACCGAGCAGUGGAGCUUCUGCUGCUUCACUCCAGAGAGAUAAUUUCAUGUAUCUCUUUCUGAUACUUCAUGUUUUCCUUUUCUGCCUUUAUCCUUGAAUGCUAAUUCCAGCCUGGUCUGUUCUGCUAAUUGGAUCCUUACUCUUUAUAGCAUUUAAACCCUCUUUGGUCCUCCAGGUCAUCACUUUGCCAUGAGUGAAUGACCAGGGGGCUGGAUGUGCGCUGACGCCUUCUGGAUCCAGAGCUUCCAGAUUCUAUCAGGGAAUAACAAGGGAUAGCUGGUGGCAAAUUGCAGGCGGAGAGCACAGGUUUGUGUGGCCAUUGCCCUUCCAGCAACAUCCCUGUGCGAGAGCCCGGUGAGGGAUUGCUGUGAUCUGGCCGCGGUCCCUGGGGCACAGGGCAGGGAGCGGUGGGUGCCCGUGAGCCCGGAGAAGGGAAACGGGGCUGGAAGCAGUCUGGUGAAAUCCGUGCAGAGUGCAGCGUGAUGCUGAAGCAUGGCAGCUCGUGGGCAGCCCGGGGGCAGGAGCACCAGCGGGGGCUCGCGUUUGGCAGCAACAGCGACUGCUGCUCCAAUCUGCAGUGCCACAGACUCCCCCAAGAUAUUAUUCUUUACUUAUUUCCAUGGUAUCUGAGCGCUGCAGCGAUUAUAUAAAUAGACACUUUCUGGAGGAACUCUCCUCUCUGCUAGGCUACAUUUUCUGAAUUGCAGUCGCAAGCCUUUUUGUUUUGCAGCGGAAUGAUGGGCUACACUGAGAUGCCGAGGGCUUGUAGUCGGGUUUGGUUAUGCUGAUCAGCCCGUUCCUGAUGAAAAAUGAAGGCCACGUUGAUAGCAUCACCUCUGCCCUGGUGCAGAGAACAGCCGAUGGGACGUGCGUGGGGCCAGGCUUAGCUCCCACCCGCAGGAGCAGCCCACACAGCCCCUUUGUGGUGAUACACGUGUGUAAGUGCCGGGUGCUCGGUGCCCAGGUGGGCGGCAGGGUGCUGUGCUCCCCUCUCUUUCCUGGGACGUUCUGCCUGUACUGGGUGAACGCUGAGCUGCAUCUGACUGCUAAGGGACGCUUAGAGCUUGGGAGUCGCCAUUUGUACGCAGCCUUCACUCUUGGUUUUGUUCCAGUGCUUACGUGAAAAGGCACUUGUCAGAAUUGCCCAGGAAAUGGAAAUCACAGGACGUUCAUACUGCAGAUAUAACAUUAUUUUUGUUUUCCCUUUGGUGAAAUGUAAAGUAACAGCCCCGGGGUAGUGCUGUGGAUGAUGGCCUCUCAGCUGUUAGCGGUGACGUUUCCUCAUAGGUGUAGAGCUGAAGGGAGCCGUGGAAGUGACCGGCAUGGUGCCAGCCGUGUGCCUGGGCUGUGCAGAGCCCGGCACACCCUGCUGAUCUCUUGUGGAUCGGCCGUGGAGGGAUGGAUGGCAAGUCUGUGCCUUCCCAAGGAGCAAGCAGGCUUGCAGGAAAUUCCAUGCGUGGUACUGCUGCAAUGUUGCUUGCCAAGAAACUUUGGAAUCCUUCCUUCAUGUUGUUUGAAAAUUCACGGAG
rnacentral:lncRNA from 1 species